AGUUGUCUAUUCAUUACAUUUAUUUAGUUAAUUCAUGGAACUAUUCAUUACAUCCAAAUGAAAUAGAACCCUCUAUCCUCUAUUAUAUUAAAGAUAUAACAAUAAAAAUAAUUUCAUUCUUACUAACAAUAAUUAAGGGUGAGAUCGAGCAGAUGGUUUGAAAUAUAGGAGAAGAUGAUCAAAGCACAAGUAUAAAGUCAAGCCUUUAUUCCAAAUAAAUUUGAGGUGCCGGUGCUGGAACUCGAUAUCUUAAAUGAAUCGUUUGGUCGUGGCAAAGGCAAUCCAAGAGACUGAGACAAGAAAAAGAUUGAGUAGAAGUCUUGCGGCGCAAAAGUGUAUUUGGAGGGUCUAGAGCUUAUUUGUGAUAAUGGGUUUGUGAUCCCUUAUACUUGUGCUUUUGGUACUUAUGUGCGCCCGUAGCAAUUAAAACUGAAUUUUUUUACAUAUAUGUUUAAUAUACCAUUUUUCGAAUAAAUUAUGUUUUAAACUUUUACGUAUUAUC